AGCUCGGUGGUCUAGUGGUUAGGACAUCAGGCUAAAUACUUGAAGGUCAUGGGUUCGAUUCCCACCCGAAUCA
rnacentral:tRNA from 1 species